CGUUGAGGCGGUUCUGUAAGUUGGACGUGAAAGCCCCCCGGCCUAACUGGGGGAGGCCGUUCAAUACUGCAGGACUUGAGGACAGCAGAGGGAGGUGGAAUUCCCGGUGUAGUGGUGAAAUGCGUAGAUAUCGGGAGGAACACCAGUGGCGAAGGCGGCCUCCUGGGCUGUUCCUGACGCUGAAGGCGAAAGCUAGGGGAGCGAACG
rnacentral:rRNA from 1 species